rnacentral:rRNA from 1 species
CCCUUAGAUGUUCUGGGCCGCACGCGCGCUACACUGAUGCAUUCAACGAGUUUCUUCCUGGUCCGAGAGGAAUGGGUAACCUUUUGAAAGUGCAUCGUGAUAGGGAUAGACUAUUGCAAUUAUUGGUCUUCAACGAGGAAUUCCUAGUAGACGUAGUUCAUCAGACUGCAUCGAUUACGUCCCUGCCCUUUGUACACACCGCCCGUCGCUCCUACCGAUUGAAUGCGCAGGUGAGCCAUUCGGACUUUCAUCAUGCUGGUUUCCAGUUUUGAUGAAGGAAAGUCUUGCGAACCUUAUCAUUUAGAGGAAGGAGAAGUCGUAACA